GGGGCACUAGCUCAACGGCAGAGCAGCCGGCUCUUAACCGGUCGAUCAGGGUUCGACCCCCUGGUGCCCUA
rnacentral:tRNA from 1 species